rnacentral:rRNA from 1 species
GAUGAACGCUGGCGGCGUGCCUAAUACAUGCAAGUCGAGCGAACAGACGAGGAGCUUGCUCCUCUGACGUUAGCGGCGGACGGGUGAGUAACACGUGGAUAACCUACCUAUAAGACUGGAUAACUUCGGGAAACCGGAGCUAAUACCGGAUAAUAUAUUGAACCGCAUGGUUCAAUAGUGAAAGACGGUUUUGCUGUCACUUAUAGAUGGAUCCGCGCCGCAUUAGCUAGUUGGUAAGGUAACGGCUUACCAAGGCAACGAUGCGUAGCCGACCUGAGAGGGUGAUCGGCCACACUGGAACUGAGACACGGUCCAGACUCCUACGGGAGGCAGCAGUAGGGAAUCUUCCGCAGUGGGCGAAAGCCUGACGGAGCAACGCCGCGUGAGUGAUGAAGGUCUGCGGAUCGUAAAACUCUGUUAUUAGGGAAGAACAAAUGUGUAAGUAACGAUGCACGUCUUGACGGUACCUAAUCAGAAAGCCACGGCUAACUACGU